UUAAUGAGUAGAGGUGCAUUGAAGAUGAGUAUAUAGUAGGUGUUAAGAGGGAAACCCUCAAUACUGCUAUAGAAAGGCUGACGUGCCGAAACUGUUAAAUGGUUUUCAGUUUAACAGUUGGGGGUUUAGUGAAUAACUAAACAACUGUCAUGGAAAUACUAAUCCAUGGGGUGCUAUUUGUUAA
rfam:Clostridium aceticum strain DSM 1496, complete genome.